rnacentral:rRNA from 1 species
GGAGGAUGCGAGCGUUAUCCGGAUNUAUUGGGUUUAAAGGGUGCGUAGGCGGACAGUUAAGUCAGCGGUCAAAACGGGCGGCUCAACCGCCUGCCGCCGUUGAAACUGGCAGUCUAGAGUGGGCGAGAAGAACGCGGAAUGCGCGGUGUAGCGGUGAAAUGCAUAGAUAUUGCGCAGAACUCCGAUUGCGAAGGCAGCGUACCGGCGCCCGACUGACGCUGAGGCACGAAAGCGUGGGGAUCGAACAGGAUUAGAUACCCUGGUAGUCCACGCAGUAAACGAUGGACACUAUCUGUUCGGGUCGAUAGAGAUCUGAGUGGCACAGCGAAAGCGUUAAGUGUCCCACCUGGGGAGU